rnacentral:rRNA from 1 species
UACGAAGGAGGCUAGCGUUGCUCGGAAUCACUGGGCGUAAAGGGUGCGUAGGCGGGUUUUUAAGUCAGGGGUGAAAUCCUGGAGCUCAACUCCAGAACUGCCUUUGAUACUGAAGAUCUCGAGUCCGGGAGAGGUGAGUGGAACUGCGAGUGUAGAGGUGAAAUUCGUAGAUAUUCGCAAGAACACCAGUGGCGAAGGCGGCUCACUGGCCCGAUACUGACGCUGAGGCACGAAAGCGUGGGGAGCAAACAGG